GGAGCGGUGUCCGAGCGGUUGAAGGAGGCGGUCUUGAAAACCGUUGAGCCUGCGAAGGUUCCGGGGGUUCGAAUCCCCCCUGCUCCG
rfam:Treponema caldarium DSM 7334, complete genome.